UUUGUGGAGUUCUUGUGGCAAGCCCCUGCCUUGAAGGCCUCAGAGUUGACUGCAAGCAAGCUGCACAGCCAAACUUCUGAUCCUAAAGAAUGUCUUUCCUUCUUAUCCAUUUUCAUGACUGUGUGCAUUGUAAGCCCCUGUAGCAGAAAGUCAACACUUGGAGUCUACAGGCAUUUAGAAGAAAUGGAAAAAAAAAGGAGUUCUCCUGAGAUGGAGGUCAUCUCUGGAAGGUCACAUUUACCUGCUCUGACUCAUUCUUAGGAGGAGCACUGCCAAAGAGAAGGUACCUGCUCAUACAGACCUUGCUGGAUACAACUGGAUCAAUUGAAUUUACAUUUGAGAGAGGUACAAAGGAAGUAAGUGGAGGUUAAUGCAGAAAUAAAGCAAAUCUUCUGAACGUUUGCCCCUAGCUGAAGCCCUGGGAGACUGGAGAGCAUACAUGCAUUAGGCAUCUACUCUACCCGGCUGAUUUCAGGCAAUGAUUUGGAACAGAAGAUAUGAAGAUAUGAGCUCUGCCCUGCUUGGCGUGACACAGAAAAGAGAUUUUCUGUUGAUAUCACUGUUGUGUAGAACUGGAGCUUGACGUUUUCAUUAAAAUAACAGAUACAGCUCUACUUGCUGCAGUAGCUGCAGACUCCCUUGUUUAUACUGCCUCUGUUUUACUUUCAGGGCAGGAACUUCCCCUUGGUUCUCAGACUGUUUAGAUUCAGGGAAGCAGUGCAUGUCAGUGUGUGUGUAUGUAUUCAGUUCCCUCUCUGUACAUUUAGAAAUUGUAAAGGGAAAAUUAUUGUGAAGAGGAAAAAAAUAGAGGACUGGUUUCUGUCCCUUUGCUGAUA